rnacentral:rRNA from 1 species
CGAGACCUUCGGGUCUAGCGGCGGACGGGUUAGUAACGCGUGGGAACGUGCCCUUCUCUGCGGAAUAGCCACUGGAAACGGUGAGUAAUACCGCAUACGCCCUUCGGGGGAAAGAUUUAUCGGAGAAGGAUCGGCCCGCGUUAGAUUAGAUAGUUGGUGGGGUAAUGGCCUACCAAGUCUACGAUCUAUAGCUGGUUUUAGAGGAUGAUCAGCAACACUGGGACUGAGACACGGCCCAGACUCCUACGGGAGGCAGCAGUGGGGAAUCUUAGACAAUGGGCGCAAGCCUGAUCUAGCCAUGCCGCGUGUGUGAUGAAGGUCUUAGGAUCGUAAAGCACUUUCGCCAGGGAUGAUAAUGACAGUACCUGGUAAAGAAACCCCGGCUAACUCCGUGCCAGCAGCCGCGGUAAUACGGAGGGGGUUAGCGUUGUUCGGAAUUACUGGGCGUAAAGCGCGCGUAGGCGGAUUGGAAAGUUGGGGGUGAAAUCCCGGGGCUCAACCCCGGAACUGCCUCCAAAACUAUCAGUCUAGAGUUCGAGAGAGGUGAGUGGAAUUCCAAGUGUAGAGGUGAAAUUCGUAGAUAUUUGGAGGAACACCAGUGGCGAAGGCGGCUCACUGGCUCGAUACUGACGCUGAGGUGCGAAAGUGUGGGGAGCAAACAGGAUUAGAUACCCUGGGUAGUCCACACCGUAAACGAUGAAUGCCAGUCGUCGGGGCAGUAUACUGUUCGGUGACACACCUAACGG